GUGUUCGGAAAAGGCAGGGAUGGCUGGCAUCUCCCCAACAGGGUUUGGAACAGCUUUCAAGCUACCAAACUCAUUUGGUUAAGGCUACCCACUUCGAUGGAUCUUAUCCCAAUUUUUUU